rnacentral:rRNA from 1 species
GACGAACGCUGGCGGCGUGCUUAACACAUGCAAGUCGAACGGAAAGGCCCUGCUUUUGUGGGGUGCUCGAGUGGCGAACGGGUGAGUAACACGUGAGUAACCUGCCCUUGACUUUGGGAUAACUUCAGGAAACUGGGGCUAAUACCGGAUAGGAGCUCCUGCUGCAUGGUGGGGGUUGGAAAGUUUCGGCGGUUGGGGAUGGACUCGCGGCUUAUCAGCUUGUUGGUGGGGUAGUGGCUUACCAAGGCUUUGACGGGUAGCUGGCCUGAGAGGGUGACCGGCCACAUUGGGACUGAGAUACGGCCCAGACUCCUACGGGAGGCAGCAGUGGGGAAUAUUGCACAAUGGGCGGAAGCCUGAUGCAACAACGCCGCGUGCGGGAUGACGGCCUUCGGGUUGUAAACCGCUUUCGCCUGUGACGAAGCGUGAGUGACGGUAAUGGGUAAAGAAGCACCGGCUAACUACGUG